UAGGUCUUUUGGCAUCCCGCUUUUCACUUUCAUUUUAUCUCAAAUAAUGAAAGUUUCCAUCCUUCUCUCAUAUUAUCUCAAAUAAUUCUACAAGAGAUUCGAAUUCCAUCUUUCUCUAUGAUCAUUUUCCAAAAUAUGAAUGAGUUUCCAUAUUUAAGGAUCAUUGGUUGCAUAAACCCUAGAUCUAUAAAUCCAUACGUAUUCAGUCGUUUCUUCACAUCGAUUCGGUUGUUAAUCGAUUUAUCAACAUCCUCUGUUUCUUCACAUCGAUUUGGCUGUCAAUCGAUUUGUCAAGCAUUAUUUAAAGUCAUGUUGAUUUAAAUUUUUGGCAGCUUCCAUGUGAAUUUUUGGGUCAGAGCAUUGCUUCUAUUAGCUUGCAGGGUCUUGUUGUCACUCUCCUUUGGGAUGAAGCUAGGCACCAGACUUCAGGGAAGUUAACCACAUCAUACUACAUUCUUAUUUUGAUGGAGUUAGACAAUGUUGUUUCAAGUUUCCAAUCUUCUCAAGUGACUCUCAUCUAUCAAGGUUUGUGGAUUGAUUGAUGUUGGUGAUCUUCUUCGCCGAGUUUUGCCUCUCACGUUUUCUGCAAACAUCAAAAGACCUUCAUGAUGACCAAUCAAGAGUAUAGGACUUGGACGUAUGAUUUUGAAUCGCGGUCUCCCUUAUGUCCAAAGCCGAAAAUUGACCAGAUUAUAAUUGUCACAAACAAUUUGUGAUCGAAAGCUAAAUAUUUAACUUCUUAGCUAAGAGGAUCCCAACUUCAAACUUUGCUUUACGCCUCUAAAAUGGUUGAGCCGACCGUAGAUACAGUCUUUGGUGGCAAGCGGAUGGGAUGGUAUAUGGUGGUUGAAGAAAUUAAGGAGCUGUAUUUUUUUUUUUGUUUGGCUCACGAGGAGAUCGAAGAUAAAAUGUGAAGACUUGCCUAUUUGGAGGGGAUUUGAUGUUGGGUUGCAAGGGGUGGGCAUAUAGUUUGUUUUAUUUUUACUGUUUUAAUGGAACGAAAUAAACUUUUCAUGUACUCAUUUAUCUAUAAUUUUUUAUUUCAGUAACAUUUUAUACGUUUA